rnacentral:rRNA from 1 species
UUUUAUGGAGAGUUUGAUCCUGGCUCAGGAUGAACGCUGGCGGCGUGCCUAAUACAUGCAAGUCGAGCGAACGGACGAGAAGCUUGCUUCUCUGAUGUUAGCGGCGGACGGGUGAGUAACACGUGGAUAACCUACCUAUAAGACUGGGAUAACUUCGGGAAACCGGAGCUAAUACCGGAUAAUAUUUUGAACCGCAUGGUUCAAAAGUGAAAGACGGUCUUGCUGUCACUUAUAGAUGGAUCCGCGCUGCAUUAGCUAGUUGGUAAGGUAAC